rnacentral:ncRNA from 1 species
UUUUGGCAAACUUGUUGAAAAACAAGGACGCAAAGCUAAUGGGUCUAAACCUUAAAACGGUAUGACAGCCAGCUGC